AUUGAACGCUGGCGGCAGGCCUAACACAUGCAAGUCGAGCGAGCGGCGGACGGGUGAGUAAUGUAUGGGGACUGCCCGAUAGAGGGGGAUAACUACUGGAAAAGGUAGCUAAUACCGCAUAUUAUCGGAUAACCCAUAUGGGAUUAGCUAGUGGGUGAGGUAAUGGCUCACCUAGGCGACGAUCCCUAGCUGGUCUGAGAGGAUGAUCAGCCAAACUGGGACUGUGACACGGCCCAGACUCCUACGGAGGCAGCAGUGGGGAAUAUUGCACAAUGGGCGAAAGCCUGAUGCAGCCAUGCCGCGUGUAUAAAGAAGGCCCUAGGGUUGUAAAGUACUUUCAGUCGGGAGGCGUUACCGACAGAAGAAGCACCGGCUAACUACGUGCCAGCCGCCGCGGUAAUAC
rnacentral:rRNA from 1 species